AUUGAACGCUGGCGGCAUGCUUUACACAUGCAAGUCGAACGGUAACAGGGAGCUUGCUCCGCUGACGAGUGGCGAACGGGUGAGUAAUGCGUCGGAACGUGCCGAGUAGUGGGGGAUAACGCAUCGAAAGGUGUGCUAAUACCGCAUACGUACUGAGGUAGAAAGUGGGGGACCUUCGGGCCUCACGCUAUUCGAGCGGCCGACGUCUGAUUAGCUAGUUGGUGAGGUAAAGGCUCACCAAGGCGACGAUCAGUAGCGGGUCUGAGGGGAUGAUCCGCCACACUGGGACUGAGACAGGGCCCAGACUCCUACGGGAGGCAGCAGUGGGGAAUUUUGGACAAUGGGCGCAAGCCUGAUCCAGCCAUGCCGCGUGUCUGAAGAAGGCCUUCGGGUUGUAAAGGACUUUUGUCCGGGAGCAAAUGCCUGGUGUUAAUAGCAUCGGGAGCUGAGAGUACCGGAAGAAUAAGCACCGGCUAACUACGUGCCAGCAGCCGCGGUAA
rnacentral:rRNA from 1 species